AAUCUACUCCCUCCGUUUGGAAUUACUUGUCACAAAAGUGGAUGUAUCUACAACUAAAAUACAUCUAGAUACAUUCAUUUCUUGGACGAGUAAUUCCGAACGGAGAGAGUAGUAG
rnacentral:pre_miRNA from 1 species